UGGGGAAUAUUGCACAAUGGGCGGAAGCCUGAUGCAGCGACGCCGCGUGAGGGAUGACGGCCUUCGGGUUGUAAACCUCUUUCAGCAGGGACGAAGCGCAAGUGACGGUACCUGCAGAAGAAGCGCCGGCCAACUACGUGCCAGCAGCCGCGGUAAGACGUAGGGCGCGAGCGUUGUCCGGAUUUAUUGGGCGUAAAGAGCUCGUAGGCGGCUUGUCGCGUCGACUGUGAAAACCCGCGGCUCAACCGCGGGCCUGCAGCCGAUACGGGCAGGCUAGAGUUCGGUAGGGGAGACUGGAAUUCCUGGUGUAGCGGUGAAAUGCGCAGAUAUCAGGAGGAACACCGGUGGCGAAGGCGGGUCUCUGGGCCGAUACUGACGCUGAGGAGCGAAAGCGUGGGGAGCGAACAGG
rnacentral:rRNA from 1 species